GAUGAACGCUGGCGGCGUGCUUAACACAUGCAAGUCGAACGAUGAAGCCCAGCUUUCUUUGGGGGGUGGGGGCGAACGGGUGAGGAACGCGUGAGUAACGUGCACUUAACUCUGGGAUAAGCCAGAGCAACUGGGACUAGUAGCUGAUAGGGGCGUCCACCGCAUGGUGGGUGGUGGAGAGAUUGAUCGGUUUUGGAUGGACGCGCGGCCUGUCAGCUUGUUGGUGGGGUGAUGGCUCACCAAGGCGACGACGGGUAGCCGGCCUGAGAGGGUGACAGGCCAGGCUGGGACUGCUACACGGCCCAGCCUCCUACGGGAGGCAGCAGUGGGGAAUAUUGCACAAUGGGCGCAAGCCUGAUGCAGCGACGCCGCGUGAGGGAUGAAGGCCUUCGGGUUGUAAACCUCUUUCAGUAGGGAAGAAGCGAAAGUGACGGUACCUGCAGAAGAAGCACCGGCUAACUACGUG
rnacentral:rRNA from 1 species